rnacentral:rRNA from 1 species
UACGAAGGGGGCUAGCGUUGCUCGGAAUCACUGGGCGUAAAGCGCACGUAGGCGGAUCGUUAAGUCAGGGGUGAAAUCCUGGAGCUCAACUCCAGAACUGCCUUUGAUACUGGCGACCUUGAGUUCGGGAGAGGUGAGUGGAACUGCGAGUGUAGAGGUGAAAUUCGUAGAUAUUCGCAAGAACACCAGUGGCGAAGGCGGCUCACUGGCCCGGAUACUGACGCUGACGGUGCGAAAGCGUGGGGGAGCAAAGCAGG